UUUGGAUGAGAGAAAUAACAAAAUUCGUUUCGUGAUUGAGCAUCCGCUUAAUACGCUUACGCAAAUUCCGCUUCAUGGGACCGUAGGAACAAAACGUUCACGUACCGAAAGCAGCGGAACGUUCGCGAUUGGUCAGAUUUUCGAUACGCGCAAUCCGCGAUACGCCUGAUACGCUCCAUGGGACUGCACCCUCAGGCUGCGGUCCACUUAAGCCUGUUCUACAAUAGCAGUAAGCACAAGACGUAAGGUUGUAGCAUUAAUCUAGGAUCAUAGAACUUAAAAUAUCUUUAAAACCGUGCUGUCUACAAUGGCUUUAAGACAGACCAAUCAGGAGAAAGAAUGUUUAAUGUUAAAAGCAAUGGACGACUUGAAGUAAAGAGGUUAGCUUGGGCUACUGUUAAGGAAGGAUUGUCCAAGAAAAAGACUGGCACCGAUGCCGAACAUAGAUUUAGUUACGACAACGGUUUGGAAGAAAAAGGAAAAAA
rnacentral:lncRNA from 13 species